AACCGCCCCAUGCGGACCGGCUUGUGGGGUGGUGUGGAGGGCUCCUCAGUGAUGGGGAGUCCUAUCCCGAU
rnacentral:misc_RNA from 1 species